GGAGGUUGGCUUAGAAGCAGCCAUCCUUGAAAGAGUGCGUAAUAGCUCACUGGUUAAGUGGUGAUGCGCCGAUAAUGUAGUGGGGCUUAUAAAGUACACCGCCGAAACCGCGGCAACACACAUUGUGUGUGUUGGGUAGGGGAGCGUCGUGCAUGCGUGGAAGCUGUCAUGGAAGUGGUGGUGGAGUGUGUGCGAGUGAGAAUGCAGGCAUGAGUAGCGAAAAACAUGUGGAAAACGUGUUCGCCGGAUGACUAAGGGUUCCUGGGUGAAGCUAAUCUUCCCAGGGUGAGUCGGGACCUAAGGCGAGGCCGACAGGCGUAGUCGAUGGAUAACGGGUUGAUAGUCCCGUACCCGUGUAUGCGCGACAAGUGGUGACUCGGUUGUACUAACCACCCACUACCAUUGAUGUUCACACGUUGUGUGUUUGUUGGUGUGUGGUGCGUGGGAUCUUGAUCGUUGGUAGCCAAGCGAUGGGGUGACACAGAUUGGUAGUCAAGGCCACUGAGUGGAUUGUGGUGUAAGCGUGUGGCCCGUAGGAUAGGUAAAUCCGUUCUGCAUAUAGGGUGAGGCGUGAUGCGUACCCAGAUUGUUGGGGAUGUUUGAUGUGCCUGUGCUGUCGAGAAAAGCCUCUAGCGAUGUGUGUGCACGGCCCGUACCGGAAACCGACACAGGUGGUCUGGUUGAGGAUACUAAGGCGUUCGGGUGAACUAUGGUUAAGGAACUCGGCAAAAUGCCCCCGUAACUUCGGGAGAAGGGGGGCCAUGUGCGGCAAUCACCCCUUGUGCGGUGUGCGUUGUGUGUGGCCGCAGAGAAGUGAGGGAAGCGACUGUUUAUUAAAAACACAGGUCCGUGCGAAGACGUUGCAAGUCGAGGUAUACGGACUGACGCCUGCCCGGUGCUGGAAGGUUAAGAGGACUCGUGAGCACGCCCUGGUGGUGUGUGAGGCGGGUAAUUGAAGCCCCAGUAAACGGCGGUGGUAACUAUAACCAUCCUAAGGUAGCGAAAUUCCUUGUCGGGUAAGUUCCGACCUGCACGAAUGGCGUAACGACUUCCCUGCUGUCUCAACCAUAGGCCCGGUGAAAUUGCAGUACGAGUAAAGAUGCUCGUUUCGCGCGGCAGGACGAAAAGACCCCGGGACCUUUACUAUAGCUUGGUAUUGGUGUGUGCUGCAGCUUGUGUAGGAUAGGUGGGAGACGUGGAAGCACCCACGCUAGUGGGUGUGGAGUCAUUGGUGAAAUACCACUCUGGUUGUUGUGUGCAUCUAACUGUGGGCCCUGAUCGGGUUUUGGGACAGUGCCUGGUGGGUAGUUUAACUGGGGCGGUUGCCUCCUAAAUGGUAACGGAGGCGCCCAAAGGUUUCCUCAGUCUGGUUGGCAAUCAGAUGGUGAGUGUAAGUGUAUAAGGGAGCUUGACUGUGACACUGACGGGUGGAGCAGGUGCGAAAGCAGGGACUAGUGAUCCGGCAUCAACGUGUGGGUGUGGUGUCGCUCAACGGAUAAAAGGUACCCCGGGGAUAACAGGCUGAUCUUCCCCAAGAGUUCAUAUCGACGGGAUGGUUUGGCACCUCGAUGUCGGCUCGUCGCAUCCUGGGGCUGGAGCAGGUCCCAAGGGUUGGGCUGUUCGCCCAUUAAAGCGGUACGCGAGCUGGGUUUAGAACGUCGUGAGACAGUUCGGUCCCUAUCCUCUGCGCGCGUUGGAAACUUGAGAAGGGCUGUCCCUAGUACGAGAGGACCGGGACGGACGAACCUCUGGUGUGCCAGUUAUCCUGCCAGGGGUAUGGCUGGUUUGCUACGUUCGGGAUGGGUAACCGCUGAAAGCAUCUAAGCGGGAAACUAGCUUCGAGAUUAGGUUUCCGUCCCACUUUUGUUGGGGGGAGGUUCCCGGUAGAUUACCGGGUUGAUAGGCUAGGAGUGUAGACAUUGUAAGGUGACCAGCUUACUAGUACUAAUUGACCGAUAACUAACAAU
rnacentral:rRNA from 1 species